CUGUAAUGAGAAUCUCAGGGUACUAGGUGUCUGUAAUGAGAAUCUCAGGGUGCUAGGUGUCUGUAAUGAGAAUCUCAGGGUACUAGGUGUCUGUAAUGAGAAUCUCAGGGUGUCUGUAAUGAGAAUCUCAGGGUACUAGGUGUCUGUAAUGAGAAUCUCAGGGUGUUAGGUGUCUGUAAUGAGAAUCUCAGGGUACUAGGUGUCUGUAAUGAGAAUCUCAGGGUGC